UACGAAGGGGGCUAGCGUUGUUCGGAAUGACUGGGCGUAAAGGGUGCGUAGGUGGUGAUGUAAGUCAGUUGUGAAAGCCCCGGGCUUAACCUGGGAGGUGCAAUUGAUACUGUAUUGCUUGAGUCUGGAAGGGGAGAACGGAAUUGCGCAUGGAGAGGUGAAAUUCGUAGAGAUGCGCAGGAACACCGGUGGUGAAGACGGUUCUCUGGGACAAGACUGACACUGAGGCACGAAAGCGUGGGGAGCAAACAGG
rnacentral:rRNA from 1 species